UUUCCCCUCUUCCGCCUUCGUUUUUGCCGACACAAAGGAAAAAAGAAAACAUUUUUCCUUAUACCUCUGCCUCCGACACCGACAAGGAAGAGGAGCUCACCGCUGCUUCUCCUUUUAGCGUCGCCCAAGCACAGCCCAAAGCACCUUUUCUCCGGCCAGCAACUUCCUUGCUAGAGAGAGAAAACGCUGGAGCUGUUGUCCUAUGCCGGCUGGAGUCGCUGCCCUCUGCCACAGCUACUGCCCCGAGCGCUGUCGUUGCUGUCCCGUGGGAGUUACUGAUUCCGAUCAACCAAGGAACUGUGGGUUCCUUGUGCCCCCGUCGCCCAAAGUCCCUAUUCCGGCCAGCAAAGAUUGUUGCCGGAAUCUGCCAUCACCGUACCUGUCGCCGCUCACCGGCAGCGGGGUUGAUGGCUUCGAACUGCGGUAACAAUGGUUGUUAUCGCCAGUUGAUUUGUACCAUUUGGUUGCAAUUGUUGCCGGGUAUAAAUCAGACCGUGAUUCCUCUCUCGGAUCAAAUUGUCUCCCACCUUCGGUUAGUUCCGAAGCGGAGACACGACUUGUACUUAUCGAAGUCGUCUUGAAGAUAGCUCGGUGUGGAUACAAGUAGAGGCGAGGCUCGUGCGUCGCUUGGUUGAUCUCCUUCCCACUCUAGAUCAUCUGAUGGAAUCUUCUACGCAUCAUCCGUCAGGACACAAGGUAAAUCUAUGGCAAGAGACUAUUUUGGUACUUGCUGGCAGUCAAGGUUUGCUUACAAUGAAGAACACUGGGACAGAAGGGACUCGACUCAGAGCUGAUGGUCCCAUUGAGGCACUAAAAAAGAAGGUUGAAUAGCAAGGUAGAACACAGUAGAACAACUUCAUAGAACAACAAAGACUGAUAUAUGAAAGUAUGUCUUUACAAUAAAAAAAAUAGAAAAGAAAAUGA